rnacentral:rRNA from 1 species
AGAGUUUGAUCAUGGCUCAGAUUGAACGCUGGCGGCAGGCCUAACACAUGCAAGUCGAGCGGUAGCACAAGAGAGCUUGCUCUCUGGGUGACGAGCGGCGGACGGGUGAGUAAUGUCUGGGAAACUGCCUGAUGGAGGGGGAUAACUACUGGAAACGGUAGCUAAUACCGCAUAACGUCUUCGGACCAAAGUGGGGGACCUUCGGGCCUCACGCCAUCAGAUGUGCCCAGAUGGGAUUAGCUAGUAGGUGGGGUAAUGGCUCACCUAGGCGACGAUCCCUAGCUGGUCUGAGAGGAUGACCAGCCACACUGGAACUGAGACACGGUCCAGACUCCUACGGGAGGCAGCAGUGGGGAAUAUUGCACAAUGGGCGCAAGCCUGAUGCAGCCAUGCCGCGUGUGUGAAGAUGGCCUUCGGGUUGUAAAGCACUUUCAGCGAGGAGGAAGGGUAGUGUGUUAAUAGCACAUUGCAUUGACGUUACUCGCAGAAGAAGCACCGGCUAACUCCGUGCCAGCAGCCGCGGUGAUACGGAGGGUGCAAGCGUUAAUCGGAAUUACUGGGCGUAAAGCGCUCGCAGGCGGUUUGUUAAGUCAGAUGUGAAAUCCCCGCGCUUAACGUGGGAACUGCAUUUGAAACUGGCAAGCUAGAGUCUUGUAGAGGGGGGUAGAAUUCCAGGUGUAGCGGUGAAAUGCGUAGAGAUCUGGAGGAAUACCGGUGGCGAAGGCGGCCCCCUGGACAAAGACUGACGCUCAGGUGCGAAAGCGUGGGGAGCAAACAGGAUUAGAUACCCUGGUAGUCC